GACGUAGGGCGCGAGCGUUGUCCGGAUUUAUUGGGCGUAAAGAGCUCGUAGGCGGUUUGUCGCGUCUGCCGUGAAAGUCCGGGGCUCAACUCCGGAUCUGCGGUGGGUACGGGCAGACUAGAGUGAUGUAGGGGAGACUGGAAUUCCUGGUGUAGCGGUGAAAUGCGCAGAUAUCAGGAGGAACACCGAUGGCGAAGGCAGGUCUCUGGGCAUUAACUGACGCUGAGGAGCGAAGGCGUGGGGAGCGAACGGG
rnacentral:rRNA from 1 species